rnacentral:misc_RNA from 1 species
GUGGACUUCGGUCUUUAUCUGGCCAAUGAUAAGAAACUAAGGCCAAAAAGUGUGAUUAGCUCUGAUCCAAGAGUACUUGAUGAAGGGCCUGCAAUUGAUCUGGAAUUGAGUCUUUCCAGUAGUGCUGCUGAAUCUGAUGUUACCAGUUUGCAUCUGACCUCCACUUCACCUCAAAGUGUCAUAAAGGUGCCACAUGGUUUUGGUGGAGUUCGUCAGACUCAUGAAGUAUCAGUGGUUUCUCAUUGGAAGACCAGUAGCAUUUUUCAUCCGUUACAUGUGCCACAGGACGAAGGGUCUAGUUACUUCUCGAAACAGGUGACAAAAGAAAUUGAGCCAUCUUCAGUCUCUCCUGAUCCUUCCUCAAGUAUAGUAACAAAUCAAAAUAGCUCAGUCACUUGUACUUCCGGAACAAAGAAGCAGCAACGCAACAGUGUCAUCAAACAAUGUCAGUUCAAGGAUUGUGUUAAAGGAGCAAGGGGUGCUUCCGGCUUUUGCAUUGCCCAUGGUGGAGGACGUAGGUGUCAAAAACCAGACUGCCAUAAGGGAGCUGAAGGUCGAACUGCCUUUUGUAAAGCCCAUGGCGGUGGUCGGCGGUGUAAAUUCCUUGAUUGUACCAAGAGUGCAGAAGGACG